UUAAUUAUAGGAUUACGGUUAGAAUCUGGGAAUUGGAAGUAAGUAUAUAGGAGUUGUAGAAGUUAGUUUGAGUAUUAGACUAUGAUAGUCAUGAGCCAAGGUAAGUUUGGUGCUACCUCUUUGUUUCUUUGUUUCUUUGUUAUUGAAAAGUAAUGGAUAAUUUUUGAAUAUUGAGAAGUAGGUCUGUCGAAUAAAUCAAAGAUUGAUUUAUGAAUUAUUGAUUAUAUAAUUGGAGCACUGAGUGAUUGAAGUAUAUGAGGAGUUAUUGGAAGAUUAUGAUUAUUGUUUAUUGAGAGUUGUAUGUGUUUCGAUAGAGGAAGUCUAUGAAUACAGAAAUUAUGUGAAUUUAGAUUAGUUGGAGUGAAGUCUGUUAUUUCUAGUGUUAGAUGAAAUUAUUAUAUUUUGAGCGGCCUUUUGAGAGUGCAAGAUUGCACACUAUUGUUAUUAGUUGAUGAAAGAGUAUUGUUAUUGGGAGAAAGUAUUGCAGUAUUUUUGAUAUUUUAGUGGUUUGGAAUAUGGUUAAUUAUGUGACUCUAAUAAGUAAAACUCAUGCACUUAGUCUUUUUCUAUGUUUGAAUCCCCCUAUAUAAGAUUAUUUUGAAAGAAAU
rnacentral:lncRNA from 1 species